AACGAACGCUGGCGGCAUGCCUAACACAUGCAAGUCGAACGAGACCUUCGGGUCUAGUGGCGCACGGGUGCGUAACGCGUGGGAACCUGCCCUUAGGCUCGGAAUAACUCCCCGUAAGGGGUGCUAAUACCGGAUAAUGUCUUCGGACUAAAGAUUUAUCGCCUUUGGAUGGGCCCGCGUUGGAUUAGCUAGUUGGUAGGGUAAAAGCCUACCAAGGCGACGAUCCAUAGCUGGUCUGAGAGGAUGAUCAGCCACACUAGGACUGAGACACGGCCCAGACUCCUACGGGAGGCAGCAGUGGGGAAUAUUGGACAAUGGGCGAAAGCCUGAUCCAGCAAUGCCGCGUGAUUGAUGAAGGCCUUAGGGUUGUAAAGCUCUUUUACCCGGGAUGAUAUUGACAGUACCGGGAGAAUAAGCUCCGGCUAACUCCGUG
rnacentral:rRNA from 1 species